rnacentral:rRNA from 1 species
GACGAACGCUGGCGGCGUGGAUUAGGCAUGCAAGUCGAACGGUAUCAUCCUUUCGGGGGUGAGAGAGUGGCGAACUGGUGAGUAACACGUAGGUUAUCUACCCUCAAGACGGGGACAACCCAGGGAAACUUGGGCUAAUACCGGAUGUGAGCAACUUUUAGUUGUUUGAAAGGUGGCGUAAGCUGUCGCUUGGGGAUGAGCCUGCGUCCUAUUAGUUAGUUGGUGAGGUAACGGCUCACCUAGGCAAUGAUAGGUAGGCGGCCUUAACGGGUGGUCGCCCACACUGGGAUUGAGAUACGGCCCAGACUCCUACGGGAGGCAGCAGUCGAGAAUAGUCUACAAUGGUCGGAAGACUGAUAGUGCGACGCCGCGUGAACGAUGAAUCCCUUCGGGGUGUAAAGUUCUUUUAUAUGUGAGCAGUGCUUCUUAUAUUAACAGUAUGGGGAGAGAGAUAUUAGCAUAUGAAUAAGCAACGGCUAACUCCGUGCCAGCAGCCGCGGUAAACU